rnacentral:rRNA from 3 species
AAAUUGAAGAGUUUGAUCAUGGCUCAGAUUGAACGCUGGCGGCAGGCCUAACACAUGCAAGUCGAACGGUAACAGGAAGCAGCUUGCUGCUUUGCUGACGAGUGGCGGACGGGUGAGUAAUGUCUGGGAAACUGCCUGAUGGAGGGGGAUAACUACUGGAAACGGUGGCUAAUACCGCAUAACGUCGCAAGACCAAAGAGGGGGACCUUCGGGCCUCUUGCCAUCAGAUGUGCCCAGAUGGGAUUAGCUUGUUGGUGAGGUAACGGCUCACCAAGGCGACGAUCCCUAGCUGGUCUGAGAGGAUGACCAGCCACACUGGAACUGAGACACGGUCCAGACUCCUACGGGAGGCAGCAGUGGGGAAUAUUGCACAAUGGGCGCAAGCCUGAUGCAGCCAUGCCGCGUGUAUGAAGAAGGCCUUCGGGUUGUAAAGUACUUUCAGCGGGGAGGAAGGUGUUGUGGUUAAUAACCGCAGCAAUUGACGUUACCCGCAGAAGAAGCACCGGCUAACUCCGUGCCAGCAGCCGCGGUAAUACGGAGGGUGCAAGCGUUAAUCGGAAUUACUGGGCGUAAAGCGCACGCAGGCGGUCUGUCAAGUCGGA